ANNNNUGCAAGUCGAACGUGAAAGUCCUUCGGGAUGAGUAAAGUGGCGCACGGGUGAGUAACACGUAGGUGACCUGCCUUUUAGAGGGGAAUAACCAGAAGAAAUUUUGGCUAAUGCCGCAUACGAAGCACGGUUUUAAGACUGUGUUUGAAAGAAUGCCUCUGCAUAUGCAUUCACUAAAAGAUGGGCCUGCGGAACAUUAGCUAGUUGGUGGGGUAAAGGCCUACCAAGGCAACGAUGUUUAUCCGGUCUGAGAGGAUGAUCGGACACACUGGAACUGAGACACGGUCCAGACUCCUACGGGAGGCAGCAGUGGGGAAUAUUGCGCAAUGGGGGAAACCCUGACGCAGCAACGCCGCGUGAGUGAGGAAGGACUUCGGUCUGUAAAGCUCUGUUAAUGUGGAAAAAUGGUAGUUGGUCUAAUAGGCCGAUUAUUUGAUGGUACACAUAGAGGAAGCACCGGCUAACUUCGUGCCNNCNNCCGCGGUAA
rnacentral:rRNA from 1 species